rnacentral:rRNA from 1 species
CGCGGUUAUACCAAGUGAUUAAGUUAUAUUUUUAGGUAAAAAGACAGUUAGGUUUACUGAGAAUAAAUUUGUCUAUUAAACAUCUAUAAAAAAGUAAAAUUUGUAUAUAGAUAGCUAAUUUAGAAAUGACAUUAAUAAUUAUGCUGAAGCUGUGAUAAUCUUGAGGGAAACUGGGAUUAGAUACCCCAUUAUUCUUGAUUGUAAAUACAAUUAAAUUUACCAGAGUACUAUGAAUAGUUAAAAAUUUAAAACUCAAAGGGCUUGGCGGUGUUUUAGACCUAUCAGGGGAACCUGUCUCAUAAUCGACAAUCCACGUAAUAUCUAACCUUAUUUUGUAAUCAGUUUGUAUACCGUCGUCGUCAGGUAACUUUUAAAAACAUAGAAGUUAGCAACUAAAAUUACUUUGAAUUAAAACGUCAGAUCAAGGUGCAACCUAUAAUAAGGAGAGGAUGGGUUACAAUUAUAAAAGUCAUAAUUACGGAAAUUUAAAUGAAAUCUUUUUUUGAAGGAGGACUUGAAAGUAAACUAAAAUACAUAAAUAGCUUGAAUAAGGCUCUG